GCACUGCUGACGAGUCGCAAACAGGACGAAACAUCUGUCCCCGGUGC
rfam:Echinostoma caproni strain Egypt genome assembly, scaffold: ECPE_scaffold0020276